AAUGAUUAUAACCUCCUUGUGCUCCUUUGCCCUGAUCCCUGCGAAAGAACAGCUUGCCCAGAUGAUGCCAUGAGAUGCUUCACAGUGUCAGCUAUAGCUGGAUUGAAGCUGGUCUUUGGCUCUAAAGUAUGCCCAGGCUGCCACCCCUCUUCUGAGCACAUUGACAUGCCCCAGGUUCCUCAUGUGGUUCUUCUGGUCCUCCUCCCUGAGCACAAACUUGAAAACAACCAGAAAUCCUCAUCGGGACCGACACAGGGUAUGGUGCCCCUGUGGGGUCUCCACCCUUUCUGAGAAAGGAAUGAGGUGCUCAAGACCAGCACAGCCAUGGGAGCUCACGGAAACCCUGGAGGUAGAACUUGUUUCCAAUUACUCCUGAAGCUGCCAAGGAAAGCAAACCUCACUUUUAGAAAGUUCUGCCCCUUGGCUUCUGCUGCAAUGACCAUUUGGCUUCAGUAACAUCUGUGUGUCCUCAGCAGCUCCGAGAAACAGUGUGUUUCUGUCAGGUACCCAAAGAGGUGUUGAAGAGCUGGAGUUAAGUACUUGGUCUUGACAAUCUGAUGAAAUGGGAUUUUUCAUAAAAAGUCCUAGUGGUUGUAUUUCAUCAAAAAUAGGGGCAGAUACUGCUGCCUUCAAUACUUGCCUUUUCCUGUUUGUAUACUAACACACACGUCAUCAGCUGUGUCUUGAAACACUGAUUUGGAAAAAUAAAUUUAGUUUAUUGUAUUAACAAGGCUGCAAGGAUGCGUAAACCCAACUACAUUUUAUAUGACAGUUUGCCAGAGUUGCUCACCCAUAUCUAAUUACCAAUGUGGCAACAAAGGUGAGAUUAGGGCAUAAUCGUGUCUUCUGCUUGGUGACUUUCACUAUAGCAAAGAGAGCAGUAAAGGAGUGUCAUGGUGCAUGUAGUUUUAGUUUUGAUAGCUUGGGUAAUAUUAAUGGUCACCAUAAAAUGAAAUAACACAGGUGUCGGCAUGACAGAGGUACUGGGGGAAAAAUCCAACGUCCUUGAUAAUCUCCUCACAGCCUGUGCUGAAACACUGGCCACUGUGCUCCCCAGUGAAAUCAGAGCACUCAGCUGGGGUCAUCCUGAUGAAAGCCUGCUGCCCAGAUGCAAGCUAGCACCGGCCCUCUGUAACAGAGGACACCAGGUCCCAGCAGCUGGUGCUCCUCAGGCUUGUAGACAGUUGUAUUUUGUAGAAAUACAACGUUCAACACAUCCUUAUAUGAAUCUUGUGUGUUCUUCCUCUUCGGUAUCUUCCAAACAAGUUCUGUGUGUCUCUGCUUAUCAUUUCCAGCUGGUCAUUAACAGGGUAGUUGCACAUCUUGUAUAAUUUAAAGUGCAUAUCAACUCAGAAUGCUUGUAAUAAAAUAUAGAUUAAUUCCUUAACAACAACAACAAAAUCUAUGCAGAAAACUGUUGCCUUUACAGCAGAGUGGAACUUCAUGUGAGAAGCUCCUUCAGGGCAGUAAAAUGAUCUUUUGAUAUUUUUUCAUGUAA